AAAUGAAUUGACGGGGACCCGCACAAGUAGUGGAGCAUGUGGUUUAAUUCGAAGAUACGCGCAGAACCUUACCUACACUUGACAUGUUCGUCGCGACUUUAAGAGAUUAAAGUUUUCGGUUCGGCCGGACGAAACACAGGUGCUGCAUGGCUGUCGUCAGCUCGUGUCGUGAGAUGUUGGGUUAAGUCCCGCAACGAGCGCAACCCUCACUUUUAGUUGCCAUCAUUAUGUUGGGCACUCUGAAAGAACUGCCAGUGAUAAGCUGGAGGAAGGUGGGGAUGACGUCAAGUCCUCAUGGCCCUUACGUGUUGGGCUACACACGUGCUACAAUGGUAUUUACAACAGGAAGCAAAACGGCGACGUUAAGCAAAUCCUUAAAAAAUACCUCAGUUCGGAUUGCACUCUGCAACUCGAGUGCAUGAAGCUGGAAUUACUAGUAAUCGUGGAUCAGCGUGCCACGGUGAAUGCGUUCCCGGGUCUUGUACACACCGCCCGUCACACCAUGGGAGUUGGUUCUACCUUAAGGCAAGGUUUCAAACCCUUGACCACGGUAUAGUCAGCGACUGGGGUGAAGUCGUAACAAGGUAACC
rnacentral:rRNA from 1 species